rnacentral:rRNA from 1 species
GACGAACGCUGGCGGGAUGCCUUACACAUGCAAGUCGAACGGAGUGGCGAACGGGUGAGUAAUGUCUCGGAACGUGCCCAGUAGCGGGGGAUAACUACGCGAAAGCGGAGCUAAUACCGCAUACUAUUGGAGCAGCCGAUGUCGGAUUAGCUAGUUGGUGGGGUAAAGGCCUACCAAGGCGACGAUCCGUAGCUGGUUUGAGAGGACGACCAGCCACACUGGGACUGAGACACGGCCCAGACUCCUACGGGAGGCAGCAGUGGGGAAUUUUGGACAAUGGGGGAAAGCCUGAUCCAGCCAUGCCGCGUGUGCGAUGAAGGCCUUCGGGUUGUAAAGCACUUUUGGCAGGAAAGCGGUACCUGCAGAAUAAGCACCAGCUAACUACGUGCCAGCAGCCGCGGUAAUUC